GACGAACGCUGGCGGCGUGCUUAACACAUGCAAGUCGAACGGAAAGGCCCUGCUUUUGUGGGGUGCUCGAGUGGCGAACGGGUGAGUAACACGUGAGUAACCUGCCCUUGACUUUGGGAUAACUUCAGGAAACUGGGGCUAAUACCGGAUAGGAGCUCCUGCUGCAUGGGGGGGGUUGGAAAGUUUCGGCGGUUGGGGAUGGACUCGCGGCUUAUCAGCUUGUUGGUGGGGUAGUGGCUUACCAAGGCUUUGACGGGUAGCCGGCCUGAGAGGGUGACCGGCCCCAUUGGGCCUGAGAUGCGGCCCAGACUCCUACGGGAGGCAGCAGUGGGGAAUAUUGCACAAUGGGCGGAGGCCUGCUGCAGCAACGCCGCGUGCGGGAUGACGGCCUUCGGGUUGUAAACCGCUUUCGCCUGUGACGAAGCGUGAGUGACGGUACUGGGGAAAGAAGCACCGGCUAACUACGU
rnacentral:rRNA from 1 species